CAGCAGCCGCGGUAAUACGUAGGGUGCGAGCGUUAAUCGGAAUUACUGGGCGUAAAGCGGGCGCAGACGGUUACUUAAGCAGGAUGUGAAAUCCCCGGGCUCAACCUGGGAACUGCGUUCUGAACUGGGUGACUCGAGUGUGUCAGGAGGGAGGUAGAAUUCCACGUGUAGCAGUGAAAUGCGUAGAGAUGUGGAGGAAUACCGAUGGCGAAGGCAGCCUCCUGGGAUAACACUGACGUUCAUGCCCGAAAGCGUGGGUAGCAAACAGGAUUAGAUACCCUGGUAGUCCACGCCCUAAACGAUGUCAAUUAGCUGUUGGGCAACUUGAUUGUUCAGUAGCGUAGCUAACGCGUGAAAUUGACCGCCUGGGGAGUACGGUCGCAAGAUUAAAACUCAAAGGAAUUGACGGGGACCCGCACAAGCGGUGGAUGAUGUGGAUUAAUUCGAUGCAACGCGAAGAACCUUACCUGGUCUUGACAUGUACGGAAUCCUCCAGAGACGGAGGAGUGCCUUCGGGAGCCGUAACACAGGUGCUGCAUGGCUGUCGUCAGCUCGUGUCGUGAGAUGUUGGGUUAAGUCCCGCAACGAGCGCAACCCUUGUCAUUAGUUGCCAUCAUUCAGUUGGGCACUCUAAUGAGACUGCCGGUGACAAGCCGGAGGAAGGUGGGGAUGACGUCAAGUCCUCAUGGCCCUUAUGACCAGGGCUUCACACGUCAUACAAUGGUCGGUACAGAGGGUAGCCAAGCCGCGAGGCGGAGCCAAUCUCACAAAACCGAUCGUAGUCCGGAUUGCACUCUGCAACUCGAGUGCAUGAAGUCGGAAUCGCUAGUAAUCGCAGGUCAGCAUACUGCGGUGAAUACGUUCCCGGGUCUUGUACACACCGCCCGUCACACCAUGGGAGUGGGGGAUACCAGAAGUAGGUAGGAUAACCGCAAGGAGUCCGCUUACCACGGUAUGCUUCAUGACUGGGGUGAAGUCGUAACAAGGUAGCCG
rnacentral:rRNA from 1 species